rnacentral:rRNA from 1 species
CGAAAGCCUGACGGAGCAACGCCGCGUGAGGGAGGAAGGCCUUAGGGUUGUAAACCUCUUUUCUCUGGGAAGAAUAACUGACGGUACCAGAGGAAUAAGCCUCGGCUAACUCCGUGCCAGCAGCCGCGGUAAGACGGAGGAGGCAAGCGUUAUCCGGAAUUAUUGGGCGUAAAGCGUCCGCAGGCGGUUUUUUAAGUCUGUUGUCAAAGGUCACAGCUCAACUGUGGAUCGGCAAUGGAAACUGGGAGACUAGAGUGUGGUAGGGGUAGAGGGAACUCCCGGUGUAGCGGUGAAAUGCGUAGAUAUCGGGAAGAACACCAGUGGCGAAGGCGCUCUACUGGGCCACAACUGACGCUGAGGGACGAAAGCUAGGGGAGCG